UUCCAUUGUGAAUGAAUUCUGUAGGUACAGGCCGGCGUAAAGUACGCACCGAGUGAAUGCACCGAAAUCCCUACUGUUCACGGAACCGCAACAGCGUGCAUUUGUUUACAAGCCGCCGCGGCUGUACGAAGUUCUUCGGGUGACCAACAUGUGCGUCGUUUUUGCGUGAAUUGCAUACUUUAUUGUUUUCGUAAAUGAACCUUCUGUUAUAUUAAGGCGAUUGUGAUAAGUGUUUUAGAGUACGAAAGUUGGCGCAACGUGACUAAUACGUCAUAAAUUCCAUGUGUUAAAACCUGUUUGGUGCAUCUAAACAAGAAAUAUUGCUAUGGAGGAUAUUUACCGGUCGGAUAAUUUGAGGAUCAAAUAAGAUGGACGUUGUGAGGAACGUCUAAGGAACUUUUCCGGGGAAAGGCGUACGAUCUCUGGCGUUUAUUUCGAAACACGGAACAAAAGGUAUGUUACGACUUUCAUUGUCUUCAUUUUCUUUUGACGGAAAGCUAGGGGCGUAUACGUUAAUG